ensembl:lncRNA
UCCGAGGCCAACACCCAGGUGAUACCUUCAGCACUAAGUGAGUGCUUGCUGGGAAACCAGAGCUGGCCAGAGCGCCUCCUGUCUGUUCCAGAGCCCGGGGUCUGGGCUUCGCAGGAGGAGCCAGACCUUGAUGCUGGACACCAUCUACCUGGUGCUGAAGCUGUGAAGCCUCCGAGGACCAGCGGCUGGACGAGCUGUUGCAGAAGGGGACCCAGGCCACUUCACCAGCCCCACUCAGCUCUGCAAGCACCGUGAGGAGUUUACCACAUUCCCCUCCCCAUGAGAACAUUUUGCAUUGUUCUGUUCUUCAAGCUAAUGGAGGAAAAACACCCUGAUGGACAUGAGCCACGUUGGACCCACACUCACUGGGCUUGGCAAAGGGUGAAGAAAUCAGGAGAAUGGAGAGAAAUUCCACAGGUGGAUGGCAAUGUGCCACUUCAGCUCCGCCUGGUGCCUGGCAUCCCCUCCAUCUGGGACAUGGGGACCCUUCUCUAAAGAAACCCAAAAGCUUCAGGGAAAUAUCAAGACCAGGGAGGGACCAGAAGCCUCAGCUCCCUGCUGAUUCCACUUUAAGUCCUGUCCAUUGAGAAGGGGUUGCAAGAGACUUGUUAAUGUCUCUUGUUUUGUUUUUCUUUUUAGUUGCUUUAAUAUGGGCAUCAGCUACAUAUUAAAAAUAAAUAUUUUUUAUUUUUUU